rnacentral:lncRNA from 1 species
AUCCUUUUCUAGUCUUCUUGCUUAUGAAGAACUGUAAGAGCUGGAGAGGUUUCUCUACAUCUUUUACCAUAAGCACCAUAACAUAUGCGAGCGUAAAGAAGACUGGGAAAGUAAUGGUUAAUGGCAUGCAGACCCCGCCUCCCUCCCCUCUCCGUUUCCUCCCAUCUGCUUUCUUUCCUUUUCUUUUCCAUCCGCCAUCUCCUCUGGGUGAAUGCUUCAAGUAGCAACAUUUCAUUUCUUUCUCGUUGUAGCAGGACAGUUAAGUGCACGCAGUAGCUGACGUAGCUUGACGGGACGUGCUGCUUAUAUUGAGUUGCCACAGACAGAGCUGAAGUUCUGUAAGAUGGCGGAUCCAGACCUGUUGGAAGAGUCCUCAUCACUCUUGGAGCCAAACGAGAUGGGAAGAGGCGCGCCUUUACGACUUGGCUUCGUAGCUGGUGUGAUUAACCGGGAACGGAUCCCGACCUUUGAGCGCAUGCUUUGGCGAGUGUGCCGAGGGAAUGUGUUCCUGAGACAGGCUGAAAUCGAAAACCCGCU